AACGAACGCUGGCGGCAUGCCUAACACAUGCAAGUCGAACGAGAUCCUUCGGGGUCUAGUGGCGCACGGGUGCGUAACGCGUGGGAAUCUGCCCUUAGGUUCGGAAUAACAGUUAGAAAUGACUGCUAAUACCGGAUGAUGACGUUAAGUCCAAAGAUUUCUCGCCUGAGGAUGAGCCCGCGUAGGAUUAGCUAGUUGUUGUGGUAAAGGCGCACCAAGGCGACGAUCCUUAGCUGGUCUGAGAGGAUGAUCAGCCACACUGGGACUGAGACACGGCCCAGACUCCUACGGGAGGCAGCAGUGGGGAAUAUAGGAAAAUGGGCGCAAGCCUGAUCCAGCAAUGCCGCGUGAGUGAUGAAGGCCUUAGGGUUGUAAAGCUCUUUUACCCGGGAUAAUAAUGACAGUACCGGGAGAAUAAGCCCCGGCUAACUCCGUG
rnacentral:rRNA from 1 species